rnacentral:rRNA from 1 species
AAUAGAUACCCGGGUAGUCCACGCCGUAAACGACUGUCGACUUGGAGGUUGUUCCCUUGAGGAGUGGCUUCCGGAGCUAACGCGUUAAGUCGACCGCCUGGGGAGUACGGCCGCAAGGUUAAAACUCAAAUGAAUUGACGGGGGCCCGCACAAGCGGUGGAGCAUGUGGUUUAAUUCGAUGCAACGCGAAGAACCUUACCUACUCUUGACAUCCAGAGAACUUUCCAGAGAUGGAUUGGUGCCUUCGGGAACUCUGAGACAGGUGCUGCAUGGCUGUCGUCAGCUCGUGUUGUGAAAUGUUGGGUUAAGUCCCGCAACGAGCGCAACCCUUAUCCUUUGUUGCCAGCGGUUCGGCCGGGAACUCAAAAGAGACUGCCAGUGAUAAACUGGAGGAAGGUGGGGAUGACGUCAAGUCAUCAUGGCCCUUACGAGUAGGGCUACACACGUGCUACAAUGGCGUAUACAAAGAGAAGCGACCUCGCGAGAGCAAGCGGACCUCAUAAAGUACGUCGUAGUCCGGAUUGGAGUCUGCAACUCGACU